AAUCUCAAAAAGCCGUCUCAGUUCGGAUUGGGCUCUGCAACUCGAGCCCAUGAAGUUGGAAUCGCUAGUAAUCGUGGAUCAGCACGCCACGGUGAAUACGUUCCCGGGCCUUGUACACACCGCCCGUCACACCAUGGGAGUUGGUUUUACCUGAAGACGGUGCGCUAACCCGCAAGGGAGGCAGCCGGCCACGGUAGGGUCAGCGACUGGGGUGAAGUCGUAACAAGGUAGCCGUAGGGGAACCUGCGGCUGGAUCACCUCCUUUCUAAGG
rnacentral:rRNA from 1 species